AUUGAACGCUAGCGGGAUGCUUUACACAUGCAAGUCGAACGGCAGCGCGGACUUCGGUCUGGCGGCGAGUGGCGAACGGGUGAGUAAUGUAUCGGAACGUGCCCAGUAGCGGGGGAUAACUACGCGAAAGCGUAGCUAAUACCGCAUACGCCCUACGGGGGAAAGGGGGGGAUCGCAAGACCUCUCACUAUUGGAGCGGCCGAUAUCGGAUUAGCUAGUUGGUGAGGUAAAGGCUCACCAAGGCGACGAUCCGUAGCUGGUUUGAGAGGACGACCAGCCACACUGGGACUGAGACACGGCCCAGACUCCUACGGGAGGCAGCAGUGGGGAAUUUUGGACAAUGGGGGCAACCCUGAUCCAGCCAUCCCGCGUGUGCGAUGAAGGCCUUCGGGUUGUAAAGCACUCUUGGCAGGGAAGAAAAGUUUCGGGCUAACACCCUGGAGCGAUGACGGUACCUGCAGAAUAAGCACCGGCUAACUACGUGCCAGCCGCCGCGGUAA
rnacentral:rRNA from 1 species